CAUAGCCUAGAUCUCAGCCCUCCAAAACAAAUCUAAUGGCUGAGAUUCGUCCACGUCAUCACGAUUUAAAAUUUAACUCUAGUAAAAUUUUAACUCCUGAAAUUUUACUCCCAGUAAAUUUUUUACUCCUACAAGUUAAAUUUUAACUCGUAAUGACGUGAACGAGUCUCAGCCGUUGGAUUUAUUUUGGAGGGUUGAGAUCUAUGCUAUA
rnacentral:pre_miRNA from 1 species